AUCCAUAUGUGUCAACAGCAUCCUUAAAUACCAUGUACGAGCACUACAUGCUUACGAAUGCCGCAUGGUAAAAAGAAAAUACAGCUCUACAAGUUUACUCACAAGGAAAUAAGAUGCAGUUGAUUGCAGAUUGGUGUUUUUGAAGUGAAUUACUGACGGACCACAGGGAGGCAGAGUGGAGGCGGUGAGCCCUAACCUUCGUGUGGUUCGAAUGUCACUAAAUGCCCUCCUGACGAUGCCCAAGCCUUCAGCGGACGUAGCCAUGCCCCCCCCAACUGAGGCUAAUGGGCCGCGUCCACCACUGGAGCCCGAAUCUCCUGC